CGUCGAGCGGCGGACGGGUGAGUAACACUUAGGAAUCUACCUAGUAGUGGGGGAUAGCUCGGGGAAACUCGAAUUAAUACCGCAUACGUCCUACGGGAGAAAGGGGGCAACUUGUUGCUCUCGCUAUUAGAUGAGCCUAAGUCGGAUUAGCUAGUUGGUGGGGUAAAGGCCUACCAAGGCGACGAUCUGUAGCUGGUCUGAGAGGAUGAUCAGCCACACCGGGACUGAGACACGGCCCGGACUCCUACGGGAGGCAGCAGUGGGGAAUAUUGGACAAUGGGGGCAACCCUGAUCCAGCCAUGCCGCGUGUGUGAAGAAGGCCUUUUGGUUGUAAAGCACUUUAAGCAGUGAAGAAGACCUAACGGUUAAUACCCGUUAGCGAUGACAUUAGCUGCAGAAUAAGCACCGGCUAACUCUGUGCCAGCAGCCGCGGUAAUACAGAGGGUGCAAGCGUUAAUCGGAAUUACUGGGCGUAAAGCGAGCGUAGGUGGCUUGAUAAGUCAGAUGUGAAAUCCCCGGGCUUAACCUGGGAACUGCAUCUGAUACUGUUAGGCUAGAAUAGGUGAGAGGAAGGUAGAAUUCCAGGUGUAGCGGUGAAAUG
rnacentral:rRNA from 1 species